GCUUUCUGAGAUCUGCUUUUAGUGAAGUGGAUCAAUGAUGAAACUAGCCAAAUCUGAGCAUCAGAAGUCUUUCCAGUCUACCUGAUGCAUGAUCUCUACAGUUCUGAGAAGCAAAACUAUAAAACAAUGUAAAACAAUAAGGGCAUAUGUCUGGUGUGUGUGUGUGUGUGUGUGUGUGUGUGUGUGUGUACGCACAUGUGUUUAUAAAGAUAACAGCUGUAGGAAUGAAUGAGAUUGAGGGUGGGGGGGUGCGUAUGUAUGUCUAUGAAAGCCUAAUCAUUUCUGGGCAAUGAUGAAAAGGUUUUACUACUGAUCUUUGUAACUAUGAUGGUUUCUACACUUGACCUGAGCUC
ensembl:lncRNA SCARNA9 small Cajal body-specific RNA 9